rnacentral:rRNA from 1 species
UACGAAGAGGGCUAGCGUUGUUCGGAAUUACUGGGCGUAAAGCGCGCGCAGGCGGUCUUCCAAGUCAGUGGUGAAAGCCCGGAGCUCAACUCCGGAACUGCCAUUGAAACUGUUAGACUUGAGGAUGAGAGAGGUGAGUGGAAUUCCCAGUGUAGAGGUGAAAUUCGUAGAUAUUGGGAAGAACACCGGUGGCGAAGGCGGCUCACUGGCUCAUUACUGACGCUCAGGCGCGAUAGCGUGGGGAUCAAACAGG